AACGAACGCUGGCGGCGUGGAUAAGACAUGCAAGUCGAACGGGUUUUCAUUUGUAGCAAUACAGGUGGGAAUCAGUGGCGCAAGGGUGCGUAACACGUGGGCAACCUGCCCUGGAGACUGGGAUAGCCCGCCGAAAGGCGGAUUAAUACCGGAUGCGGCUACCAAAGGACUCUUUGGGACGCUAAAGGUGGCGCAAGCUACCGCUCUUGGAUGGGCCCGCGGCCUAUCAGCUAGUUGGNGAGGUUACGGCUCACCAAGGCGAUGACGGGUAGCUGGUCUGAGAGGACGACCAGCCACACUGGAACUGAGACACGGUCCAGACACCUACGGGUGGCAGCAGUCGAGAAUUUUUCUCAAUGGGGGAAACCCUGAAGGANCGACGCCGCGUGGAGAUGAAGUCUUCGGAUUGUAAACUCCUGUCAUUGGUGAACAAGAUU
rnacentral:rRNA from 1 species